CAAAACAUCUGAGCUUCAUGAAUGGGCCCCCAAACCCAAACAUCUUUCCUGUCAGUGUUUUUGAAAUGGAAAAAAGUAGACUGUGUAUGCUACUGAAGUAAAUUCAAAUUCUUCUAUUUGUGUUCUUCCCCAGACAUAUGUUGUAAGGACUUUUUUUGUUCACCUUUAAUUCUGAAUGACUGAGAACACUGCUCCCGACAUCUCUAGACUGAAAUUAUUUGAGAACACUGAAAUGCCUAAGGAAAAAGAGCAACACCAUGGACCAGCAUCCAAUAUUGGAAUUGUAUACAAGAGGUCCCUGAGCCUGUCUUUCACUGGCACUUUGGGAAAUUCCAGGCACCAAUCCUGCUCGUAAAUCGCAGAGGAACAGUCUCAGCAUGAGACUCUCCUACUGGAGCAGCUCUGUGGAAAUACUAAGUACAAGAAAAGACCCAAUAGGGAUGUGCAUGGGAACAGAUGGGGAUUUGCUUGUGUCAUUAUCAGACACAAGCAAGAACUUAAAUGGUGAAAGGUCAC
rnacentral:lncRNA from 13 species